GCAGUCGAACGAGUUCUCGUUGAUGAUCGGUGCUUGCACCGAGAUUCAACAUGGAACGAGUGGCGGACGGGUGAGUAACACGUGGGUAACCUGCCCUUAAGUGGGGGAUAACAUUUGGAAACAGAUGCUAAUACCGCAUAGAUCCAAGAACCGCAUGGUUCUUGGCUGAAAGAUGGCGUAAGCUAUCGCUUUUGGAUGGACCCGCGGCGUAUUAGCUAGUUGGUGAGGUAAUGGCUCACCAAGGCGAUGAUACGUAGCCGAACUGAGAGGUUGAUCGGCCACAUUGGGACUGAGACACGGCCCAAACUCCUACGGGAGGCAGCAGUAGGGAAUCUUCCACAAUGGACGCAAGUCUGAUGGAGCAACGCCGCGUGAGUGAAGAAGGCUUUCGGGUCGUAAAACUCUGUUGUUGGAGAAGAAUGGUCGGCAGAGUAACUGUUGUCGGCGUGACGGUAUCCAACCAGAAAGCCACGGCUAACUACGUGCCAGCAGCCGCGGUAAUACGUAGGUGGCAAGCGUUAUCCGGAUUUAUUGGGCGUAAAGCGAGCGCAGGCGGUUUUUUAAGUCUGAUGUGAAAGCCCUCGGCUUAACCGAGGAAGCGCAUCGGAAACUGGGAAACUUGAGUGCAGAAGAGGACAGUGGAACUCCAUGUGU
rnacentral:rRNA from 2 species